UCCAGUAGCAAAACACAGAGGUCUGGCAUG
rnacentral:piRNA from 1 species